rnacentral:lncRNA from 1 species
AGAAGGAAGAAGGACAUGCAUUAAGAUGUGCCACCUUUUGUUUUUUGCGUGCGUGAAGGGAAGGGGCGCCAAUAGUUGGCACCCCACUCCAUGUGAGAUUCUCUCUCUUCCUGAUUUAAUUUCUAUUUGAAUUUGAUUCAAAAUAGGAUCAAAUCUUAUCCGAUAUGGUGUGUAAGAAAACCUUAUUUUCGUGCGACAAAAAUCUGGAAAGAAUAAUGGGCGUGCACUAUUUGUUUGGUGGGAGGUUCUUCUUGCCGCACAAUACAAUCUCAACACAUCUAAUCCCUUCCUUUUGAUAUGAACACCUAAGAUCAGAUGAGAUUAGAUCUAUUAGAGCAUUAGGAAAUAGUUGGGCAUGGGGAUUUUUGGUUUUGUGUAACAAAAUAAAGUGGGCAUGAGGAGUUUUUGCGUGUAAUGUGGGGAUGGCUUCUUUAGGACACCGCAACUAAUUUCCAACGCAACCUUUUUUCUUCCCUACACCUCUAUGCCAAGACCUGAUUGUGACUAGAUCUAAGGAGAGAAAAGAGAGAGAAGAAGAGAAGAAGAAAGGUUCUUCUUUCCUUAGUGAUUUGGUUCAGAUCCUAUUUGAUCUGUGUGAAGGAGUUCACGUAGUGUUUAUCUUCGUUGGCAUCUAGAAGAAGAGAUUCAGAUCUAAAGCUAAGGAGCGAGAUAUGUAAGGUGCUAGCACAUCGGUGAUCUCGGUGUUUCAAUUAGGCAUUUCUGUGUGGAUACCAAUAG